CUUAUAUGGGAAAGAAAGACGUGGGAGGGCCUGAAGCCGGUCCCGAGGGCUUUCCCUUUGGCCCAGAGAUACCUGGUCUCUCUGGAAGACAUGUAGGAAACCAGUGCUCUAAAGCAGUCUCCCCAAGGCCCAAGUUCCGCAUCUCUCCAUGCUGUCCCCAUGUAAAAGUGCUGGUGGUGGGGCAAACUGUAAAUGGUUACGGGUGUGCAACUCUGUGGAGGGCUAGGGACGUGAGAGAUGAGGGGUAGAGAGAGGCCAUUUCCUUGUGAAGCCGAGAUGGGCACAGGCGGGACCCGGCGGCUGUACAUGGAGCAGAAAAGACCCAUGGAUGACUCAAAGUGAAGUGCGCCCUCCCUGUUGUCGUGAAGGCCGCUGUCUAGUUGAGUCGCUUCUGUAGCGGGAAUAGUCAGUGUCAUUAAUUUUCCCCUGUACUGAGUGGGCCGUGGAACCUGAAGCUGACUUGAUGGAUCACAGUGCCACUUCGGAGCAGAGUGGUCAAAGUCUGCCUUACAGGACGUAAAGGACAGAAACCAAGAAUGCCAUCAUUAAUUCAAAGAUACUUGAAGGCUGAGAUGAGAACCUUUUGGCUUCUCAGGGCCAAUUUAUUUCCCUAGAAAGGAGGACUACAACAGACAAGAAUUUCUGACACAUCAUGGGAAAAAGUGAAGAAGUCAAUCUUUGGGGUGUGUUUUUACCCAGGAGGUGGCCUGCAAUGGGUUAGUGGCACAUCACAAUAAAUUAUUU